UGAGGAAUAUUGGUCAAUGGACUCAAGUCUGAACCAGCCAAGUAGCGUGUAGGAUGACGGCCCUACGGGUUGUAAACUGCUUCUAUAUGGGGAUAAAGUGGGGAACGUGUUCCCUUUUGCAGGUACCAUAUGAAUAAGGACCGGCUAAUUCCGUGCCAGCAGCCGCGGUAAUACGGAAGGUUCGGGCGUUAUCCGGAUUUAUUGGGUUUAAAGGGAGCGUAGGCCGUUUGGUAAGCGUGUUGUGAAAUGUAGGAGCUCAACUUCUAGAUUGCAGCGCGAACUGUCAGACUUGAGUGCGCACAACGUAGGCGGAAUUCAUGGUGUAGCGGUGAAAUGCUUAGAUAUCAUGAAGAACUCCGAUUGCGAAGGCAGCUUACGGGAGCGCAACUGACGCUAAAGCUCGAAGAUGCGGGUAUCGAACAGG
rnacentral:rRNA from 1 species